rnacentral:rRNA from 1 species
GUGGAUUAGAUACCCUGGUAGUCCACGCCCUAAACGAUGAUCACUCGAUGUUGGCGAUACACAGUCAGCGUCUAAGGGAAACCAUUAAGUGAUCCACCUGGGGAGUACGGUCGCAAGACUGAAACUCAAAGGAAUUGACGGGGGCCCGCACAAGCGGAGGAGCAUGUGGUUUAAUUCGAUGAUACGCGAGGAACCUUACCUGGGCUUGAAAGUUAGUGAAUUCUGCAGAAAAGUAGAAGGCCGAAAGGACACGAAACUAGGUGCUGCACGGCUGUCGUCAACU